AUUGAACGCUGGCGGCAUGCCUUACACAUGCAAGUCGAACGGUAACAGGUCUUCGGAUGCUGACGAGUGGCGAACGGGUGAGUAAUACAUCGGAACGUGCCUAGUAGUGGGGGAUAACUACUCGAAAGAGUGGCUAAUACCGCAUGAGAUCUACGGAUGAAAGCAGGGGAUCGCAAGACCUUGUGCUACUAGAGCGGCCGAUGGCAGAUUAGGUAUUUGGUGGGAUAAAAGCGUACCAAGCCGACGAUCUGUAGCUGGUCUGAGAGGACGAUCAGCCACACUGGGACUGAGACACGGCCCAGACUCCUACGGGAGGCAGCAGUGGGGAAUUUUGGACAAUGGGCGCAAGCCUGAUCCAGCAAUGCCGCGUGCAGGAUGAAGGCCUUCGGGUUGUAAACUGCUUUUGUACGGAACGAAAAGCCCUGGGUUAAUACCCUGGGGUCAUGACGGUACCGUAAGAAUAAGCACCGGCUAACUACGUGCCAGCAGCCGCCGUAA
rnacentral:rRNA from 1 species